GAUGAACGCUAGCGGCAGGCCUAAUACAUGCAAGUCGGACGGGAUUGAGGAGCUUGCUUCUCAUGAGAGUGGCGCACGGGUGCGUAACACGUAUGUAACCUACCUUAGUCAGGGGGAUAGCCUCUCGAAAGAGAGAUUAACAACGCAUAACAUUAAGAUGUGGCAUCACAGUUUAAUCAAAUAUUUACAGGACUAAGAUGGGCAUGCGGAACAUUAACUAGUUGGUAAGGUAACGGCUUACCAAGGCAACGAUGUUUAGGGGAUCUGAGAGGAUGACCCCCCACACUGGUACUGAGACACGGACCAGACUCCUACGGGAGGCAGCAGUAAGGAAUAUUGGUCAAUGGACGCAAGUCUGAACCAGCCAGGCCGCGUGCAGGAAGACGGCCCGACGGGUUGUAAACUGCUUUUGUACCGGAAUAAACCUUUUCACGUGUGAGAAGCUGAAUGUACGGUAAGAAUAAGGAUCGGCUAACUCCGUGCCAGCAGCCGCCGUAA
rnacentral:rRNA from 1 species